UGGCGGACGGGUGAGUAAUGUCUGGGAAACUGCCUGAUGGAGGGGGAUAACUACUGGAAACGGUAGCUAAUACCGCAUAACGUCGCAAGACCAAAGAGGGGGACCUUCGGGCCUCUUGCCAUCGGAUGUGCCCAGAUGGGAUUAGCUAGUAGGUGGGGUAACGGCUCACCUAGGCGACGAUCCCUAGCUGGUCUGAGAGGAUGACC
rnacentral:rRNA from 1 species